rnacentral:lncRNA from 1 species
UUUCAUUUUCUUACCAUGACUCUGUCUAUAAAUUGUUAAAUAUGCAAUUGAAAAAAAGUUUCUCCUAGUCAGGGUAAUCAGGUAAUCUUUGUGAAUAUGGUAAUCAUCACAUUUUAACAGAAUUUCAAUUCUGGUCAGAGAUUUCAAAGCCUAUUUAGAGAGCAAAACAAAAUGAAUUAAGCUGUUUCUAAGACAUCUGUUAAAUGCCCAAACGCGUCUGGCGCUGAGAACACCAAGACGGUGCUAGGGAAACCGAGAUGAAUGAAGAAACACGCUUUCUGCCUGUGCAGUCUCCUGAUCCUUCACUUGGCCGUGUGGUAGACUGAUUGCAACAAUGUGUGCAGUUCUUCCUUUCCCUGUGUUUACAGCAAUAGUAGUGUGAUAUCAAAGCACUUUCUCUCUGUUCCCUACCCCUUGAGUCUGGGCUGGUCAGGUGACUUGCUCUGGCCAAUCACCAUAAGUGACUAUGUGCUGGUUCCAGUCUGGGACUGAGGGACUUUGUGCACCUUGUUUGCUCUCUGGGAAUGCUGCUACGGACAUAUGGAGUAAGAGACACCACACAGAGGAGAGAUGAAGUGGCCUACAGACAUCACCUGGAACAGCCAGCCCACAGCUAAGCCAGCAGUAUCUUCUCUAGGAAAGGUGAAAAAUCUGACACAGCAAUCCCGAACAGGUGAAACACUGAAUUGUGUUUUGAACCGAGACUCAGGAAAACAGGUGUGCCAGCCAUCUGUUGUUGUGUUGGGGAUGCUCUUCCCAAAAAUGUGUCCGUCCAGACAUUGAUUCACAGAAGACUGAGACUUACAAAGAGUUGAGGGAAAUGGGACAGAAGGAGGAGUCUCGUCUCCCUCUGGAGACCACAGCAGGAGACAGCGCAGGCAGUCCACACAGAUACCCAAGCUGCCCAAAUCAUCAGAGCCACUCAGGAGCUGCCGUCAGCACUUCCUGGGCUCCUGCAGGGUGUCCGGCUCCAUCACUUCAUGUUGCUCAUUGACAAAUGCCAAGUGUGCAGCAUAGAAGCCCAUAUAUUUCUCCAGGCAUAACCACAUGUGUGACAACACUCUCCAGAAGCAGAAGUGAAUUCCUCUUACAAUACAUCCAAGGAGCGUUGACUGAGGGAGAUUUCACUUUCUGUGGACCGCAGCCAUCUCUUCAGUUUCUCCCUGUUACUGAAAUCUCAUUGUUACACUCAGAAUCUGUCUUCUCCCGGGGCUUACUUUCAAAGCAUUUCACUGCCUGUGACAAGACAGACUGGAGACGAUGCUGGGAGGCUGGGGAAGGUGGCAUGCUGAAGAAAAAUGCAAGCGCCGCAGGAAGACUUCACUUCCAACUACCACUGCAGGGCCAUAGGACUGAUUCUGGACAAUGGAACGAGGGCAGAAAUGAUGAAGGUCAUUUUUCCAGCCUAGUCCAUGCAAUAUGUGGCCUGGUUUUCUAUGCUCACUCUCUCUGGCUGGAAGCAAAUGACCCCAAGAUGCCAGAGCCAUACCAUGAAAAGAGACUGGACCUCUGA